CUUCCAGUAGCACCUUAGAGACCAACUAAGUUUGUUAUUGGUAUAAGCUUUCAUGUGCAUGCAGACUUCUUCAGAUAUCAAUAACAAACUUAGUUGGUCUCUAAAGUGCAACUGGAAG